rnacentral:rRNA from 1 species
AGAGUUUGAUCCUGGCUCAGGAUAAACGCUGGCGGCGUGCCUCAAGCAUGCAAGUCGAGCGGGCCCCGCAAGGGGCCAGCGGCAGACGGGUGAGUACAAGUAAGGUUAUCUACCCUGAAAUGGAGGAUAGCUCGCCGAAAGGCGGGGUAAUCCUGCAUGUGCCCUGUAAAUUUGUUCGCAAAUUUACUGGGUAAAGAGCGUAACUGCUCGUUUCAGGAGGAGCCUUAUACCUAUCAGCUUGUUGGUAGGGUAACGGCCUACCAAGGCUAUGACGGGUAGGGGGCGUGAGAGCGUGUUCCCCCACAAUGGCACUGAGAUACGGGCCAUACACCUACGGGUGGCAGCAACUGGGAAUCGUCGACAAUGGACGAAAGUCUGAUCGCGCGACGCCGCGUGAGGGAUGAAGCCUUUCGGGGUGUAAACCUCUUUUGCCAAGACAUCGAGUCUUGGAGAAUAAGCACCUACUAACUACGUGCCAGCAGUCGCGGUAAUACGUAGGGUGCAAGCGUUAUCCGGAUUUAUUGGGCGUAAAGUGUCGCGUAGGCGGCUCUUCGCAUCUUACUUGAAAUGUUCCCGCUUAACGGGAUCACGGGUAAGAGAUGGAGGAGCUUUGAGGGUUGGUGAGGUUUUUGGAACUUCCGGUGUAGCAGUGAAAUGCGUUGAUAUCGGAAGGAACACCAAGAGCGAAGGCAAAAAACCAAUCAACUUCUGACGCUGAGGCACGACAGCUAGGGGAGCGAAGCAGAUUAGAGACCUGCGUAGUCCUAGCCGUAAACGCAUGGGUGCUAGUUGCGCGGCCGCAAGGCUGCGUGACGUAAGCUAACGCGUUAAGCACCCCGCCUGGGGAGUACGAUCGCAAGGUUAAAACUCAAAGGAAUUGGCGGGGACCCGCACAACCGGUGGAGCAUGUGGUUUAAUUCGAGACAAAGCGAAAGACCUCACCACGGUUUGACAUCCCAGCGUCCUAUUUUGUAGAGAUACAGAAAAUUCGCAAGAAGGUUGGGAAAGCUGCUGCAUGGCCGUCGUCAGCUCGUACCGUGAGGUGUUCCCUUAAGUGGGGUAACGAGCGCAACCCUCACCGUUUGUUACAUAUUCAAACGGGACUGUCCCGACGUUUGUCGGGAAGGAAGGAGAGGACGAAGUCAGGUCAGCACGGCGCUUAUGCCGUGGGCCACACACAUCCUACAAUGGCGAAGAACAAUGAGUCGCAAGACGGUGACGUCAAGCAAAUCUCUGAAAUUUCGCCUCAGUUGGGAUUGGAGUCUGCAACUCGACUCCAUGAACGAGGAAUCGGUAGUAAUCGCGGAUCAGCAGGUCGCGGUGAAUACGUUCUCGGGUCUUGCACACACCGCCCGUCAAGCCAACAAAGUCGAGGGUGCCCAAUACCCCGAUUUAAUCGGGGCAAAGGCAAAUUCGGCGAUGGGGACUAAGUCGUAACAAGGUA